AUUGAACGCUGGCGGCAUGCCUUACACAUGCAAGUCGAACGGCAGCACGGGGCAACCUGGUGGCGAGUGGCGAACGGGUGAGUAAUGCAUCGGAACGUACCUUUCAGUGGGGGAUAACGUAGCGAAAGUUACGCUAAUACCGCAUAUUCUGUGAGCAGGAAAGCAGGGGAUCGCAAGACCUUGCGCUGAUUGAGCGGCCGAUGUCAGAUUAGCUAGUUGGUGAGGUAAAGGCUCACCAAGGCGACGAUCUGUAGCGGGUCUGAGAGGAUGAUCCGCCACACUGGAACUGAGACACGGUCCAGACUCCUACGGGAGGCAGCAGUGGGGAAUUUUGGACAAUGGGGGCAACCCUGAUCCAGCCAUGCCGCGUGAGUGAAGAAGGCCUUCGGGUUGUAAAGCUCUUUCGGCCGGGAAAAAAUCGCAUGGGUUAAUAACCUGUGUGGAUGAUGGUACCGGAAUAAGAAGCACCGGCUAACUACGUGCCAGCAGCCGCAGUAA
rnacentral:rRNA from 1 species